AUGGCCAGGGCUCUGGUUUUCCUUAUCAUUCUCAGUUACUGCUCAGGUGUCAUUUCACAGCCAACAUUGACUCAGCCGGCCACUCUGUCUGUGUCCCCGGGAGAAACAGCUAAACUCUCCUGCACCAUCAGCAGUAAUUCAUACUACACAGGCUGCCUUCAACAGAAACCUGGACAGGGCCCCCGCUAUGUGCAUGGUGAUGGGAACAAUAGGGGAGAAGGGAUCCCAGACCGAUUCACUGCUUCCUGCUCUGGGAACACGGCCUCUUUAACCAUCACCGGCAUUCAGGCUGAAGAUGAGGCUGAUUAUUACUGUGCAAUGUGGUCCACCAGUGUUAGCAUGUUUCACAGUGGUGUCCAUUCGCAACCAACUUUGACCCAGCCUGGCUCCCAGUUUGUGUCCCUGGGACAAACAGCAAAUCUCCCCUGCACCAUCAGCAGUGACCAAAACUUCAUUCACUGGUAUCAGCAGAAAUCUGGACGAGCGCCUCGCUUUCUACACUGUGAUGGUUGCAGCAGCAGAGGACCAGGAAUCCCAGACCGAUUCACUGGUUCCCGCUCUGGGAACAUGGGCUAUUUAACCAUCACCAACAUCCAGGCUGAAGAUGAAGCUGAUUAUUACUGUGCAAUGUGGUAUAGAAGAGGUAGCAUGUUUCACAGUGGUAAAUUCUAA